AUGAAAAUUAACUUACUACGGGGCUAUCUUCUUUCUGCCACACAACACGGCAACAAACCACCUUCACGUCAUGAGGCAGAAAGCCUCAAGCGCCGGGCACAUCAUAGCCCAUAUACCUGCACGCUGACCACACUCACUUUCCCUGAAAAUAAUCCGCUCAUUCAGACCGUUCACGGGAAAUCCGUGUGA
rnacentral:antisense_RNA from 1 species